rnacentral:misc_RNA from 1 species
CUUGCCAAUUUGAUAUUUACACUCCUGGGUUCAAAAUUCAACAAUCAAUAUUGAAUAUACCCAUGAGUAUUGUUAGCACAAAGGCUGGGGGUGCGGCAUAACUCUCACUGCAAAGCAAUUGCUAAAGUUGGGCAGGGCCUUCCCACAGAAAGUCUGAUAUAACUUCUAGUUGCCUCCAAAACAUGAAGCUUUGGUCAUCUCAUUCUACAGUUUUGGCAUGGAAGAUCCUUAUUGACUAUCAAUAGUCAAUCAUUUACUAAAAACAUGGAAGGUACUCAAUGACAAUAACCCAUGUUUUUGCAAAUUAUAAAUGUGGCAAGGUAUUGAAUAGGCACACCAAUAAUCAUAAUUACGGAAAAAAUAAAACAUGCAACACGCAGAGAGGAUAAGCUUACCCAUCUAAG